UACAGAGGGUGCGAGCGUCAAUCGGAAUUACUGGGCGUAAAGCGUGCGUAGACGGUUUUGUAAGUCGGAUGUGAAAUCCCCGGGCUCAACCUGGGAAUUGCAUUCGAGACUGCAAGGCUUGGGUGCGGAAGAGGGAAGCGGAAUUUCCGGUGUAGCGGUGAAAUGCGUAGAUAUCGGAAGGAACAUCAGUGGCGAAAGCGGCUUCCUGGUCCAGCACCGACGUUCAGGCACGAAAGCGUGGGGAGCAAACAGG
rnacentral:rRNA from 1 species